GUCUCCCUACGGGGCGCAGCAGUAGGGAAUUUUCGUCAAUGGGCGCAAGCCUGAACGAGCGAUGCCGCGUGAGUGAAGAAGGCCUUCGGGUCGUAAAGCUCUGUUGCGGGGGGAAAAAGGCAUCUGCAGGAAAUGGUAGAUGACAGAUGGUGCCCCGCCAGAAAGUCACGGCUAACUACGUGCCAGCAGCCGCGGGAAUACGUAGGUGGCGAGCGUUAUCCGGAAUGAUUGGGCGUAAAGGGUGCGCAGGCGGUCCUGCAAGUCUGGAGUGAAACGUAUGAGCUCCA
rnacentral:rRNA from 1 species